UUCCUCUGCUUGAAAAAUGCCUGCAAAAUUCCAUCACACCUUUGCGAGGACCACUUUGGGUCUCUAAGGGAGAAGGUUUCAGCCCCUCAGGAGCUAAGAUGUACAUCCAAGGAGUUCUUUUGGCCCUGUACCAACGAUUAAAGUCUGCAAAAAAAUAUUAUAAACAGAAACAGUUUGCCAACUGCUAAUCCAAAUGGGCUGGGCAAGGCAAGUUUGAGAAGGAGCUAAGCAUACUGGAAAUGUUUUAGAUUCCAGUCAUCAAGAGUUCUAAUCUUAUUAACUGGUCCGACCUCUGAGUCUUAGUUUUUCUCAUCUGCAAAAUGACAAU
rnacentral:sRNA from 1 species